rnacentral:piRNA from 1 species
UGAGCAAAAUGUUUUCCAUAGGACAAGGAC